GAUGAAGAACGUAGCGAAAUGCGAUAAGUAAUGUGAAUUGCAGAAUUCAGUGAAUCAUCGAAUCUUUGAACGCACAUUGCGCCCCCUGGUAUUCCGGGGGGCAUGCCUGUUCGAGCGUCAUUUCACCACUCAAGCCUCGCUUGGUAUUGGGCAACGCGGUCCGCCGCGUGCCUCAAAUCGACCGGCUGGGUCUUCUGUCCCCUAAGCGUUGUGGAAACUAUUCGCUAAAGGGUGUUCGGGAGGCUACGCCGUAAAACAACCCCAUUUCUAAUGUUGACCUCGGAUCAGGGAGGGAUACCCGCUGAACUUAAGCAUAUCAAUAAGCGGAGGA
rnacentral:misc_RNA from 1 species